UUGCUGACAGGAUCAGUCCCUGCAUUGGCCAAUGGAAUGCGAGUGGAAGUGAUGUGUGUGGAUGGUUUAAGAGCCUGAACUUGCUGGGCUAUGUUUUCCCUUUCUACUCUGUCACCGUGACCUCUGGGUUCCAGACAGAGACUGCUCGUCAGCAUGGGUCCUGGCGUGAAGAGGAGGCAGAGCAGAGCACCUGGCCAGCCUACGAUGGGCAUCCAGAGGUCAAGGAGCCUUGAGAAGAAGUUUUAAGAAUCAGUCUCCUGGAGAAGGGAUCGGCUCUAUGGCCCACAGACUGUCAGCAAAGAGAGAUGUGAAGAUGGAGGAAGGGUCCAAGACAGUGUGGCUGCAGGAAGCAGGAGGAAGGGGCCAUGAGCCAAGGAUGCAGGCAGCCUCUGGAAGCUGCAAGGCCAAGGAGAUGGAUCAUCCUCAGCCUCCACACAGGAAGACAGCCCUGCCAACGCCUCGAUUUUAACCCAGUGACACCCACAUUGGACUUCUGCCCCAAAGAACUGGGGGACAAUAAAUCUGUGUAGUUUU